rnacentral:rRNA from 1 species
UACGUAGGGGGCAAGCGUUGUCCGGAUUUAUUGGGCGUAAAGAGCGUGUAGGCGGCCAAAUAGGUCGGUUGUGAAAACUGGAGGCUUAACCUCCAGACGUCGACCGAAACCAUCUGGCUAGAGUCCGGAAGAGGAGAGUGAAAUUCCUGGUGUAGCGGUGAAAUGCGCAGAUAUCAGGAAGAACACCCGUGGCGAAGGCGGCUCUCUGGGACGGUACUGACGCUGAGACGCGAAAGCGUGGGGAGCGAACAGG